rnacentral:rRNA from 1 species
CCUACGGGGGGCAGCAGUGGGGAAUAUUGGACAAUGGAGGCAACUCUGACCCAGCAACGCCGCGUGAAUGAUGAAGGUCUUCGGAUUGUAAAGUUCUUUUCUAAGGGAAGAAGAAAGUGACGGUACCUUAGGAAUAAGCCUCGGCUAACUACGUGCCAGCAGCCGCGGUAAUACGUAGGAGGCAAGCGUUAUCCGGAAUGACUGGGCGUAAAGGGUGCGUAGGUGGUUUGACAAGUUGGUAGCGUAACUCCGGAGCUCAACUUCGGAACUACUACCAAAACUGUUGGACUCGAGUGCAGGAGGGGCAACUGGAAUGUCUAGUGUAGCGGUGAAAUGCGUAGAUAUUAGGAGGAACACCGGUGGCGAAGGCGGCCUGCUGGACGAUGACUGACGCUGAGGCUCGAAAGCGUGGGGAGCAAACAGGAUUAGAUACCCCAGUAGUC